UACGGAGGAUCAGAGCGUUAUCCGGAUUUAUUGGGCGUAAAGAGCGCGCAGGUGGUUGAUUAAGUCUGAUGUGAAAGCCCACGGCUUAACCGUGGAGGGUCAUUGGAAACUGGUCGACUUGAGUGCAGAAGAAGGAAGUGGAAUUCCAUGUGUAGCGGUGAAAUGCGUAGAGAUAUGGAGGAACACCAGUGGCGAAGGCGGCUUCCUGGUCUGUAACUGACACUGAGGCACGAAAGCGUGGGGAGCAAACAGGAUUAGAUA
rnacentral:rRNA from 1 species